rnacentral:rRNA from 1 species
CAGUAGCCGCGGUAAUACGUAGGUGGCAAGCGUUGUCCGGAAUUACUGGGCGUAAAGCGUGCGCAGGCGGUUCUAUAAGACAGAUGUGAAAUCCCCGGGCUCAACCUGGGAACUGCAUUUGUGACUGUAGAGCUGGAGUGCGGCAGAGGGGGAUGGAAUUCCGCGUGUAGCAGUGAAAUGCGUAGAUAUGCGGAGGAACACCGAUGGCGAAGGCAAUCCCCUGGGCCUGCACUGACGCUCAUGCACGAAAGCGUGGGGAGCGAACAGGAUUAGAUACCCCGGUAGUCCCUGUCUCUUAUAC